rnacentral:rRNA from 1 species
CCUACGGGGGGCAGCAGUGGGGAAUAUUGCACAAUGGGGGAAACCCUGAUGCAGCGAAGCCGCGUGAGUGAAGAAGUAUUUCGGUAUGUAAAGCUCUAUCAGCAGGGAAGAAAAUGACGGUACCUGACUAAGAAGCUCCGGCUAACUACGUGCCAGAAGCCGCGGUAAUACGUAGGGGGCAAGCGUUAUCCGGAGUUACUGGGUUGAAAGGGGGCGUAGACGGCAGAGCAAGUCUGAAGUGAAAGCCCGGGGCCCAACUGCGGGACUGCUUUGGAAACUGCCCGGCUAGAGUGCUGGAGAGGUAAGCGGAAUGCGUAGUGUAGCGGUGAAAUGCGUAGAUAUUAGGAGGAACACCAGUGGCGAAGGCGGCUUACUGGACAGUAACUGACGUUGAGGCUCGAAAGCGUGGGGAGCAAACAGGAUUAGAUACCCGGGUAGUC